rnacentral:tRNA from 2 species
GCCGGCGUAGCUCAGUUGGCAGAGCAUUCGCCUUGUAAGCGAAGGGUCAUGGGUUCAAGUCCCAUCGCCGGCU